GGACUACUGGGGUAUCUAAUCCUGUUUGCUCCCCACGCUUUCGCGUCUCAGCGUCAGUCACCGUCCAGGUGGCCGCCUUCGCCACUGGUGUUCCUCCCGAUAUCUACGAAUUUCACCUCUACACCGGGAAUUCCACCACCCUCUCCGGGACUCGAGCGAGGCAGUUUCGAGUGCAGUUCCGGAGUUGAGCUCCGGGCUUUCACACCCGACUUGCCAAGCCGCCUACACGCGCUUUACGCCCAGUGAUUCCGAACAACGCUUGCGCCCUCCGUAUUACCGCGGCUGCUGGCAC
rnacentral:rRNA from 1 species